GACGAACGCUGGCGGCGUGCUUAACACAUGCAAGUCGAACGGCAAGGCCCUGCUUUUGUGGGGUGCUCGAGGGGCGAACGGGUGAGUAACACGUGAGUAACCUGCCCUUGACUUUGGGAUAACUUCAGGAAACUGGGGCUAAUACCGGAUAGGAGCUCCUGCUGCAUGGUGGGGGGUGGAAAGUUUCGGCGGGUGGGGAUGGACUCGCGGCUUAUGAGCUUGUUGGUGGGGUAGUGGCUUACCAAGGCAUUGACGGGUAGCCGGCCUGGGAGGGUGACCGGCCACAUUAGGACUGAGGUACGGCCCAGACUCCUACGGGAGGCAGCAGUGGGGAAUAUUGCACAAUGGGCGGGAGCCUGAUGCAGCAACGCCGCGUGCGUGAUGACGGCCUUCGGGUUGUAAACCGCUUUCGCCUGUGACGCAGCGUGAGUGACGGUAAUGGGUAAAGAAGCACCGGCUAACUACGUG
rnacentral:rRNA from 1 species